CGGCAUACGCCUGUUGGGGGGAAAUAAGGUGAAUAUGGCUAUCAAUACCCGCAGCGGUGAGGAUCAGAUGUUCGCCUGAAAUCGCAUCAGUACUCAGGCCAACAAUCAUAUUCGAGGUUACACCGUCCAUUGUGUCUGGAUUACCGCUCUUACCAAUGCCUACGAUGAGGCCAUUCUUGAUGCCCACAUCGGCCUUAAUCACACCCAAUUUGGCAUCUAAAAUAGUGACGUUGGUGAUCACCAGAUCAAGCACACCGUUAUCACGUGUUAGCGUAUUAUUGGCCCCCAUACCGUCG
rnacentral:sRNA from 1 species